rnacentral:rRNA from 1 species
AUUGAACGCUGGCGGCAGGCCUAACACAUGCAAGUCGAACGAGUGGCGGACGGGUGAGUAGUGUCUGGGACACUGCCUGAUGGAGGGGGAUAACUACUGGAAACGGUAGCUAAUACCGCAUACCAUCGGAUGUGCCCAGAUGGGAUUGGCUAGUGGGUGGGGUAAAGGCUAACCUGGGCGACGAUCCCUAGCUGGUCUGAGAGGAUGACCAGGCACACGGGAACUGAGAAACGGGCCAUACUCCUACGUGAGGCAGCAGGGGGGAAUAUUGAAAAAGGGGCUCAAGCCUGAGGCAGCCAUGCCGCGUGUAGGAAGAAGGCCUUCGGGUUGUAAAGUACUUGCAGCGGGGAGGCGUUACCCGCAGAAGAAGCACCGGCUAACUCCGUGCCAGCAGCCGCGGUAAUAC